GCUACCAGAUUGAGUUUUGAGUGGCAACAUCCCUUUCUCAUUUCUUGAUGCAUAACACCUCUCUUUCCUUUACUCUGGGCACACAAGCCCAUAUGAUACUUUGUCGUCUAGCAUGUGUCUCCCUUCUCUUUCUUGCGACAGGUUUCAGUUUUCUCCAUCUUGCUCUAAUUUUCUCAAAUCCCAACACCCAUGGGCAGAUGGACUAUUGACAAAAGUAGUGAUC
rnacentral:lncRNA from 1 species